AUGGAAGAUGUGGAGAUCAUUCAUAGUUUGGGUGUCAACUCCUACAGAUUCUCAAUUUCAUGGGCGAGAAUCCUACCAAGAGGCCGGCUUGGAGGCGUUAAUUCAGCUGGAGUAGCGUUCUACGACCGCCUGAUUGAUGCACUCGUGCACAAAGGGAUAGAGCCAUUUGUGACACUGCAUCACUUUGAUCUGCCGCACGAAAUGGAGACCCGAUACGGCGGUUGGCUGGGCGCCGAAAUCCGGGAGGAGUUUGACUACUACGCCGACGUGUGCUUCAAGGCGUUUGGUGACCGGGUGAAGUUC
rnacentral:rRNA from 1 species